rnacentral:rRNA from 1 species
UACGUAGGUGGCAAGCGUUGUCCGGAUUUACUGGGCGUAAAGGGCGUGCAGGCGGUUUGUUAAGUGCAGGGUGAAAGCUCCCGGCUCAACUGGGAGAGGUCCUUGCAUACUGGCGAACUCGAGGGAGGCAGAGGAAAGUGGAAUUCCCGGUGUAGUGGUGAUAUGCGUAGAUAUCGGGAGGAACACCCGUGGCGAAGGCGGCUCUCUGGGACGGUACUGACGCUGAGACGCGAAAGCGUGGGGAGCGAACAGG